UCCGUAGGUGAACCUGCGGAAGGAUCAUUACCGAGUUGAUUCGAGCUCCGGCUCGACUCUCCCACCCCAUGUGUACCUACCUCUGUUGCUUUGGCGGGCCGCGGUCCUCCGCACCGACCCCCGUUCGGGGGCCGGCCAGCGCCCGCCAGAGGACCACAAAACUCCAGUCAGUAAACGUCGCAGUCUGAGAAACAAGUUAAUAAACUAAAACUUUCAACAACGGAUCUCUUGGUUCUGGCAUCGAUGAAGAACGCAGCGAAAUGCGAUAAGUAAUGUGAAUUGCAGAAUUCAGUGAAUCAUCGAAUCUUUGAACGCACAUUGCGCCCCUUGGUAUUCCGAGGGGCAUGCCUGUUCGAGCGUCAUUUCAACCCUCAAGCUCUGCUUGGUAUUGGGCUCCGUCCUCCGCGGACGCGCCUCGAAGACCUCGGCGGUGGCGUCUUGCCUCAAGCGUAGUAGAAAACACCUCGCUUUGGAGCGCACGGCGUCGCCCGCCGGACGAACCUUUGAAUUUUUCUCAAGGUUGACCUCGGAUCAGGUAGGGAUACCCGCUGAACUUAAGCAUAUCAAUAAGCGGAGGA
rnacentral:sRNA from 1 species